rnacentral:rRNA from 1 species
UACAGAGGGGGCAAGCGUUGUUCGGAAUUACUGGGCGUAAAGGGCGCGUAGGCGGCCUUCUAAGUCGAACGUGAAAUCCCCGGGCUCAACCCGGGAACUGCGUCCGAUACUGGAAGGCUUGAAUCCGGGAGAGGGAUGUGGAAUUCCAGGUGUAGCGGUGAAAUGCGUAGAUAUCUGGAGGAACACCGGUGGCGAAGGCGGGUCUCUGGACAGUUCCUGACGCUGAGGCACGAAGGUCAGGGGAGCAAACGGG